GACAGGGGAUGCAAGCGUUAUCCGGAAUGAUUGGGCGUAAAGCGUCUGUAGGUGGCUUUUUAAGUCUGCCGUCAAAUCUCAGGGCUUAACCCUGGACAGGCGGUGGAAACUACCAAGCUGGAGUACGGUAGGGGAAGAGGGAAUUUCCGGUGGAGCGGUGAAAUGCGUAGAGAUCGGAAAGAACACCAAAGGCGAAAGCACUCUGCUGGGCCGACACUGACACUGAGAGACGAAAGCUAGGGGAGCGAAUGGG
rnacentral:rRNA from 1 species